rnacentral:rRNA from 1 species
AGUGAACGCUGGCGGUAGGCCUAACACAUGCGAGUCGAACGGCAGCACAGUAAGAGCUUGCUCUUACGGGUGGCGAGUGGCGGACGGGUGAGGAAUACAUCGGAAUCUACUUUUUCGUGGGGGAUAACGUAGGGAAACUUACGCUAAUACCGCAUACGACCUACGGGUGAAAGCAGGGGAUCUUCGGACCUUGCGCGAUUGAAUGAGCCGAUGUCGGAUUAGCUAGUUGGCGGGGUAAAGGCCCACCAAGGCGACGAUCCGUAGCUGGUCUGAGAGGAUGAUCAGCCACACUGGAACUGAGACACGGUCCAGACUCCUACGGGAGGCAGCAGUGGGGAAUAUUGGACAAUGGGCGCAGGCCUGAUCCAGCCAUACCGCGUGGGUGAAGAAGGCCUUCGGGUUGUAAAGCCCUUUUGUUGGGAAAGAAAAGCAGCAGGUUAAUACCCCGCUGUUCUGACGGUACCCAAAGAAUAAGCACCGGCUAACUUCGUG